rnacentral:lncRNA from 1 species
CUAUUGCGCAAUACUGAGCAAUUGAAAAUUUCUUGCUAUUGCACAAUACUGUGCAAUUGAAGAUUUCUUGCUAUUGCUGAAUACUGUGCAAUUGAAUAUUUCUUGCUAUUGAAUACUUAAUAUAAUAAUUUUGAAUCCUGAUUUGAACCAACUUGAAAACUGGGCCCGUAAACAAAAAUCUAAGUACAUGUUUAGAUUCAGCAUAUCAAAAAAGCCCAAGAAUUCAAUUUUUGUUAAAAUCAUAUUUAGUUU